CUCCGCCGGCGACCGGCGCACGGGUGCGUAACGCGUAUGCAACCUACCUUUAACAGGGGCAUAACACUGAGAAAUUGGUACUAAUUCCCCAUAACAUUCGAGAAGGCAUCUUCUUGGGUUAAAAACUCCGGUGGUUAAAGAUGGGCAUGCGUUGUAUUAGCUAGUUGGUGAGGUAACGGCUCACCAAGGCAACGAUACAUAGGGGGGCUGAGAGGUUAACCCCCCACAUUGGGACUGAGACACGGCCCAG
rnacentral:rRNA from 1 species